GUUCGCUUGGGCAGCACAUACACUAAAAUUGGAACCAUACAGGGAAGAUGAGCAUGGCCCUCGAGGAUGACACGCAAAUUCACAAAGCGUUGCAUAUUUUU
ensembl:snRNA U6 U6 spliceosomal RNA